rnacentral:rRNA from 1 species
UUCGCAAUGCCCGAAAGGGUGACGAAGCGACGCCGCGUGUGGGAAGAAGGCCUUCGGGUUGUAAACCAUUGUCGGGAGUUAAGAAAUGCAAGGAUAUUAAUAGUGUCUUUGUUUGACUAAGGCUCCGGAGGAAGCCACGGCUAACUCUGUGCCAGCAGCCGCGGUAAUACAGAGGCGGCAAGCGUUGUUCGGAAUUAUUGGGCGUAAAGAGCGCGUAGGCGGCUAUGUAAGUCGGUUGUGAAAGCCUUCCGCUCAACGGAAGAACAGCAUCCGAUACUACAUGGCUUGAGUGCGGGAGGGGAGAGUGGAACUUCUGGUGGAGCGGUGAAAUGCGUAGAUAUCAGAAGGAACGCCGGCGGCGAAAGCGGCUCUCUGGCCCAUAACUGACGCUGAGUGUGCGAAAGCUAGGGGAGCAAACGGGAUUAGAUACCCCGGUAGUCCUAGCCGUAAACGAUGGGCACUAAGUAGAGGGGUUUU